rnacentral:sRNA from 1 species
UACCAGCCCCGGUUGAGCCGGUAGCCCCCGAUUUUUAUCGGGACUAAAGGAGAAGACGGGAAUAGGG